ensembl:lncRNA
CUACCAGUUGUUGGGUAUUGGACCUGCCAUGGAAAACAAGUCAUGGCCCAGUGCUGGAGAACUUACAAGACUUGUAAGGAAGCUGAUGGGCAAACAAGGAGUGGAAAUGCAGAUAUCAGAGCCACCUGCAUCUGAGACUCAACCUCUGGCUCUGCAGGAUGGCAGUGAGAAUGUGGAGCCACUGAGUUCAGACGGUAAGAUGGCCCUGACUCUCUGGUUGCCCAAGAUUCUAAACUUCUGUGACACAGACAGGCAGCUCUACCAGCUGGAAAUGGGGAGUUUUAGUCUGUCCUGCUGUUCUCUCUUUCAGCAAGUAUUUGUCAGGAGUUACUGGGUGCCCUGCCCAGCCACUGAGACUCUCAUUCACUUGCUCUAAAGCUCCU